rnacentral:rRNA from 1 species
AUGAAAUUAAAAUUAUUAAAUAUAAUUUUAUCAAUAAUAAAUAAACUUAAUAAUAAUAAUAAUAUUAUUAUUAAUAAUCUAUUAGAUUCAUUAAUAAAUAAGAAAUUAUUAUUAAAGAAUAUAUUAUUAGAUAUAAAUAAUAAAAAAAUAAAUAAUAUAAAAAGAAUAUUAAAUAAUAAUAAUAUAAAUAUUAAUAAUAAAUUACAACAUUUAAAUAAUAUAAAUAAUUGAAAUCUACAAAUUUAUAAUUAUAAUAAAAAUAUAGAAAUUAUAAAUACUAUAAAUGAUAAAUUAAUUAAUAAAUUAUUAUAUAAAAUAAUAACUUUAAAAUUAAAUAAUAUAAAUAUUAAUAAAAUUAUUAUAAGUAAACUUAUUAAUCAACAUAGUUUAAAUAAAUUAAAUAUUAAAUUUUAUUAUUAUAAUAAUGAUAUUAAUAAUAAUAAUAAUAAUAAUAAUAAUAAUAAUAAUUAUUAUAUAAAUAUAAUAAAUAAAUUAAUAAAUAUUAUAAAUAAUAAUAUAAAUAAUAAUUUAUGUAAUAUUUUAAGUUAUUAUUAUAAUAAAAAAGUAACUAUUGAACCUAUUAAAUUAUCAUAUAUUUAUUUAAAUAGUGAUAUUUUUAGUAAAUAUAUUAGUUUAAAUGAUAUAGAUAAAUAUAAUAAUGGUAUCUUAACUAAUUAUCAACGUAUAUUAAAUAAUAUUAUGCCUAAAUUAAAUGAUCAUAAUAUUUCUAUAAAUUAUAUUAAUAAUAUUAAUAAUAUUAAUAAUAAUAAAUAUAAUAAUAUAAUUAAUUUAUUAAAUAAUAAUAAUAAUAAUAAUAAUAAUAAUAAUAUUAAUAAUAAUAAUAAUUAUAAUAAUAAUAAUAAUAAUUAUAUUGGUAAUAUUAAUAAUAUUUAUAAUAAUAUAACUAUUGAUAAUAUUCCUAUAGAUAUUUUAAUAUAUAAAUAUUUAGUUGGUUGAUCUAUUAAAUUUAAAGGUAGAUUAAGUAAUAAUAAUGGUAGAACUAGUACACUUAAUUUAUUAAAUGGUACUUUUAAUAAUAAAAAAUAUUUAUGAAGUAAUAUUAAUAAUAAUUAUAAAUUAAAUUAUAUCCCUUCUAAUCAUAAUUUAUAUAAUAAUUCUAAUAUUAAUAAAAAUGGUAAAUAUAAUAUUAAAGUUAAAUUAAACUUUAUUUAA